rnacentral:rRNA from 1 species
AGCAGCCGCGGUAAUUCCAGCUCCAAUAGCGUAUAUUAAAGUUGUUGCAGUUAAAAAGCUCGUAGUUGAAUUUCGGGGUUAGUAGGUUGGUCGUGCCUUUGGUAUGUACUGGUCUCACUGAUUCCUCCUUCUUGAAGAACUGUAAUGUCAUUAAUUUGGUGUUGCAGGGAAACAGGACUGUUACUUUGAAAAAAUUAGAGUGUUUAAAGCAGGCUAACGCCUGAAUACAUUAGCAUGGAAUAAUGAAAUAGGACGUUUGAUCCUAUUUUGUUGGUUUCUAGGAUUGACGUAAUGAUUAAUAGGGAUAGUUGGGGGCAUUAGUAUUCAAUUGUCAGAGGUGAAAUUCUUGGAUUUAUUGAAGACUGACUACUGCGAAAGCAUUUGCCAAGGAUGUUUUCAUUAAUCAAGAACGAAAGUUAGGGGAUCGAAGACGAUCAGAUACCGUCGUAGUCUUAACCAUAAACUAUGCCGACUAGGGAUCGGAUGAUGUUAAUUUUUAAUGACUCAUUCGGUGCCUUAC